ACCCCCUUGGUGGAUGGGGAGAGGAACACACACAGCGGCCGGCUCCAGUCUCCUGAAGACACGGGGGAAGCCAGUGAAGGGCGCACUGCUAGGGAUUUGGAGUGCUUCAGAGAUCUGAGCGUCCCCAGCCACCCCCGGAAUAGACACCAGCUCCAUUGUGCUUCUCCUUGAACUUCGUGGCUACCCUGAGCCCCACACCAAGAACACCCAGCCCCGGCUCCAUACCUCCCACCUAGUUCUUGUCCUCCUGGGCCUCACGAACUUGAGGACAGAGGCUCUGUCUGGCAUCUGAAGACCCAGCAAAGCCCAGCUCUGCCAGCAGCUUGCCAGGACCUGAGAAAGCCCCUCUCUCCCCAGGCCUCAGUUUCCCCAGAUGUACGUGGAGGGAUUGGGCUAAAUGAGCUCAGUGGAUCUCAUGGCCCCGAUCCUGGCAGGUUGGUGAUUGUCUACCCUGCCCCUAGCCCUGUGGGGAUUCAAGGUGUGAGCCUUGUGGUGGGGGUACACAGGGUCCCCCAAAUUCAUGUAUAUUCAGAGCCUCAGAAUGAGACCUUAUUUGGAAACAGAAUAUUUGCAGAUACAAUUAGGUAAGGACCUCCAGCUGGAAGCACCCUGGAUUUUGGGUGGGCCCCAAAUCCAAUGACUGCCGGAGAGGACGCCAAAGCCACAAGGAGAAGCGGCCACGUGGAGACGGAGGCAGAGGCUGGAGUGAAGUGGCCACAAGCCAGGGUGCACCUGGGCCACCAGAAGCCGGAUGAGUAGAGGAAGUUCCUCCCCUAGAGGUUUUGGGAGAGCCGUGGCCCUGAUGACACCUUGGUUGUGGACUGCCGGCCCCCAGAAUUGUGGAGAUACGUUUCUGUUGUUUUCAGCCACACAGUUUGUGGUGCUUCGCUCCAGCAGCCACAGAACAUGGAUUGGAGCCCCGAGAGAUUCCUGGGCGUGGGAGACCCACACCUCUGUCCUUGGUGGUUGGUGAGGGCUGCAGGAUUGGGGCUUCUGAUGUUAUUGUCCUGGGGACAGACUCCCUGGGCAGGAUCACGAAGGGGGCAGACUGAGCUGGGACAAGGGGCAUUCGGGCCUCGGGCAGCAGGGCAGGCCCUAGAGAGGCAGCCAAGUCGUCACAGUGAUUUCCCUGAACAGGGAAUGUUCCUUUCCAGGCUCAGUGCCCUGGCGGCCUGGGGGAAGUGGAGAGAAGAGAGGGACGCCAGGGUUACGAUUCUCAGCUUAUUGAGGUCUGAUGUGAAUGGCAUGCAAGCCUGUGGCCAGGACCAGCCAGUGCCACCUUCUGAGCAUGUUCUGAGUGUUGACUCUGCACUGGACAUGGGAGAUGAGGCUCCAGCUCUGUGGAGCUGCAUCUAGCUGGGGAGAGAUGGACAAGAGAGAGCAAACAACCCCGCACCGGGCUUCACAUGUUAAGCCCAGGAGCAGAUGGUGUGA